GACAUAGGUCGCAAACGUUAUCCGGAAUUAUUGGGCGUAAAGGAUGCGUAGAUGGUUCAGUAAGUUACUGGUGGGAAAUCGAGGCUCAACCUCGUGGAAGUCAUUAAUACUGCUGAACUUGAGUGCAGGAGAGGUUAACGGAAUGGUUCGUGGAGGGGUAAAAUCCAUAGAUAUGAACUAGAACAUCAAUAUGGCGAAGGCAGUUAACUAUUCUGUUACUGACAUUGAGGCAUGAAAAGCGUGGGGGAGCAAAACGGG
rnacentral:rRNA from 1 species